GAUACAGCCCCCUGAAACCCGCUCCGACGCUAAUUUUUAAGCGCGGAGCGGGAGAGGAGGGGGGCGGCAUCUGGGCUGCUGCCUCAGGCGGCAGCAGCCCCAGAAUCGGCGCUGGGCUUACAGGUCAUCCCGUGACUCUUAGGGAGAUGAAACCAUUGUACUGCAGGUUAGGUCAACACACCGAAGCAGUCAGAUCUCUAUUAGUUUCAGAUGAUGUCCCUAUCAACCUAUUGGGAGCAGACAUUCUGUCGGAGAUUCAGGCCAACAUCACAUAUACCCCAGAGGGUGUUGUGGUAACUAGUGUACUCACAGACGAGUUGCUAUGUGCAGUGGUGGCAGUCCCGUAUACUGGAGAACCUGGUACACAUUUGUCCCUGGAUGUACUAGCUGAGGUAGACCCAAAGGUUUGGGCAGUUGACAAAUAUGAUGUCGGCUUGCUGCUAGUACCUCCAGCCACUAUACGGAUUGCCCCCGGUUACAUGCUACCAAAAUUGCCACAGUAUCCUCUGAGUAUAGCGCAGAUGGACAGUCUCAAGAUCCAGAUUGAUAGAUAUCUCCAAAUCGGGGUCUUAACCCCAACACAAUCACCCUGUAAUACACCUUUAUUUCCAGUAGCAAAAAAAAUCAGCCAAGGGUCAGGAAGUCACUUACCGACUGGUCCAUGAUCUCAGAGCCACUAACAAAAUCGUAGUCAGUGAUGCCCCGUUAGUGCCUAAUCCUCACACAUUACUUGCGUCCAUCCCUCCUAAAGCUUCAUACUUUAAUGUUAUCGACUAGUCUAAUGCCUUCUUUUCUGUUCCACUAGAUCCACAGUGUCAAUACCUCUUUGCUUUUUCAUUCCAGGAUAGACAGCUGACGUGGACCCGGUUACCACAGGGGUCCAUGACUAGUCCAUCGGAAUAAAGUUGCAAGCUAAAGGUGGUAUUAGACCAGUGGGUGCCAGAGGAUCCGGAGGUCGCACUGUUACAAUAUGUGGACGAUCUAUUAGUUUGUUGCCCGGACAAGGAUUAAUGCUACAGACACACUAUCUCGCUACUGAACCAUCUGGCAUCCACUGGGAAUAAGGCUAGCAAGGAAAAAUUGCAGUUUUGUUAGGAGAAGGUUAUUUUUCUAGGCCACUGUAUCUCAAAAGGGACCCGACACCUGACAACACAACGGAUACAGACUCUCAAAGACUUCACCCGACCUCAUAAUGCCCGACAGUUGAGAGCCCUUCUAGGUCUGAUCAAUUACAGCAGAGAUUGGAUCCCUAAUAUUUCAUUCAAAAUGGGUCCUCUCUAUACUUUACCCUAUGAGACACCAUUUAAAUUAACUGACGAACACUGGUCAACCCUCCAGGAUCUGAUCCAGGAACUCUCCAGGGCCCCGGCACUAGGUCUUCCCAGCUAUGACCUACCCUUUUAUCUCUUUUGUCACGAAAGCAAAGGGCAUGCCACUGGGGUACUGACCCAAUUACAUGGAUCCAGUCAUCAAAGGUUCACCUGGGUGUGUCCGAGCUACAGCCGCCUGUGCUGUGUUAUUACAGAAAGUUGGUGACAUAGUUUUAGAUUCCCCUCUAACCCUUCUCACCCCACACUCUGUAAAAUAGAUUAUCAACCAGGUCCAGACCAAACAUCUUUCAGCAGCACGUCUGACCAAAUCUGAAGUGACUCUCCUUACCCCUACUAACCUCACACUGAGACGAUGUACAAUCCUCAAUCCCGCAUCUCUUCUCCCGACCCAUUCUGACUCGGAAGAAGAGGGGGGGACGAAGGGAUUGUGACUGACUCUAACCCAACCAUGACAGAACCAACAGACAAUCACAAAUGUCUUGAACUCAUGGAACCCGAGACAGAAGCAGUACAACAUUCACCUCCCUUAAGGUCGAGGAACGUGACGGGUGGAUCCUCGCCAGCCACUGCAAGAAGCUGCUGGACUAUCAAGUGCAAUGAUCAGGUGCAUUGUUUCUAUAUACACUUGUUGUUUAAUGUAUUUUUGAUACUGUUAUGAGGAGUCACAUCCGAAUUUACUGUUCAAGAUGCAUUUACAAUUAGCAAAGACGGCAAAUAGGUCCAACUGCUGGGUGUGCUCCAAACCUCCUCCGAGCCAGAGCAUCCUGGCGAUGGCGGCAGUACAUGCCCUUUAUGACAUCAGGGUGGGCAUGAGAAAAUUUAGUCCUUCAGGUAGAUCAGCAGAACGCCAUCUGUCCAUAGAAUUUAAUCAAACAUUCUUAGAUGGUAAUGUCACCUAUGGUCUUGAUGUCAGCCCCGAGGCUUGUACUAAACUUAGCAGACCCGUGUGGGUAUCCGGUCAAUUAGGCCAGCCCGGGAUUUGUUUUAAUAUCAGCUCUGGUUUUGGAGCCAAGUCCCUGGGGAGGACCGAAUGCCCAUCUGGGAUAACCAUCCAGAUCGACCAUAGAGUCCCUGAC